rnacentral:rRNA from 1 species
AGUGAACGCUGGCGGUAGACCUAACACAUGCAAGUCGAACGGCAGCACAGUAAGAGCUUGCUCUUACGGGUGGCGAGUGGCGGACGGGUGAGGAAUACAUCGGAAUCUACUUUUUCGUGGGGGAUAACGUAGGGAAACUUACGCUAAUACCGCAUACGACCUACGGGUGAAAGCAGGGGAUCUUCGGACCUUGCGCGAUUGAAUGAGCCGAUGUCGGAUUAGCUAGUUGGUGGGGUAAAGGCCCACCAAGGCGACGAUCCGUAGCUGGUCUGAGAGGAUGAUCAGCCACACUGGAACUGAGACACGGUCCAGACUCCUACGGGAGGCAGCAGUGGGGAAUAUUGGACAAUGGGCGCAAGCCUGGUCCAGCCAUACCGCGUGGGUGAAGAAGGCCUUCGGGUUGUAAAGCCCUUUUGUUGGGAAAGAAAAGCAGCAGGUUAAUACCCCGCUGUUCUGACGGUACCCAAAGAAUAAGCACCGGCUAACUUCGUG